rnacentral:rRNA from 1 species
AGUUUGAUCAUGGCUCAGAUUGAACGCUGGCGGCAUGCUUUACACAUGCAAGUCGAGCGGCAGCGCGGGGGCAACCCUGGCGGCGAGCGGCGAACGGGUGAGUAAUGCAUCGGAACGUGUCCCGUAGUGGGGAUAACCCGGCGAAAGCCGGGCUAAUACCGCAUAUGCUCUACGGAGGAAAGGGGGGGAUCCGCAAGGACCUCUCGCUAUGGGAGCGGCCGAUGUCCGAUUAGCUUGUUGGUGGGGUAAUGGCUUACCAAGGCGACGAUCGGUAGCUGGUCUGAGAGGAUGAUCAGCCACACUGGGACUGAGACACGGCCCAGACUCCUACGGGAGGCAGCAGUGGGGAAUUUUGGACAAUGGGGGCAACCCUGAUCCAGCCAUGCCGCGUGCGGGAAGAAGGCCUUCGGGUUGUAAACCGCUUUUAGUCGGGAAGAAAAGGCGAUCUCUAAUACGGGUCGUUCUUGACGGUACCGGCGGAAUAAGCACCGGCUAACUACGUG